rnacentral:rRNA from 1 species
UAUACAGCGAAACUGCGAAUGGCUCAUUAUAUAAGUUAUCGUUUAUUUGAUAGUGCCUUACUACUUGGAUAACCGUGGUAAUUCUAGAGCUAAUACAUGCUAAAAACCCCGACUUCGGAAGGGGUGUAUUUAUUAGAUACAAAACCAAUGCCCUUCGGGGCUCUUUGGUGAUUCAUGAUAACUAUACGAAUCGCACGGCCUUGCGCCGGCGAUGGUUCAUUCAAAUUUCUUCCCUAUCAACUUUCGAUGUUUGGGUAUUGGCCAAACAUGGUUGCAACGGGUAACGGAGGGUUAGGGCUCGACCCCGGAGAAGGAGCCUGAGAAACGGCUACUACAUCCAAGGAAGGCAGCAGGCGCGCAAAUUACCCAAUCCCGACUCGGGGAGGUAGUGACAAUAAAUACUGAUACAGGGCCCUUUCGGGCCUUGUAAUUGGAAUGAGUACAAUUUAAAUCCCUUAACGAGGAACAAUUGGAGGGCAAGUCUGGUGCCAGCAGCCGCGGUAAUUCCAGCUCCAAUAGCGUAUAC